CAUUAAUAUGAUAAUUCAAACAUUCAUAAUGUUUAAUACAAAAAAUAUUAGCUCUAUACAUUUAGAGACUAAUUUAAAUACCUUUAUACAUUUAGGCACUCAUAGUGGUAUUCCAUCAUAUGAAGCCACAUAAUAAGUUCUUAUCAAAAUAAGAAAGUUUAAAGACAAUCUUUAAUGCCUAACAAACUUCCUAAGUAGUGAGCAAAAAACAUAGUGGCCGAACCCUUCUCCACAUUUUUCCUUGCUUGUUCCUCUUCUACUUGGCUCCUCCAC
rnacentral:lncRNA from 1 species